rnacentral:rRNA from 1 species
UACGUAGGGUCCAAGCGUUGUCCGGAUUUAUUGGGCGUAAAGAGCUCGUAGGCGGUUUCGUAAGUCGGAUGUGAAAACUCAGGGCUCAACCCGGAGACGCCAUCUGAUACUGCGAUGACUUGAGUCUGGUAGGGGAUCACGGAAUUCCUGGUGUAGCGGUGAAAUGCGCAGAUAUCAGGAGGAACACCGAUGGCGAAGGCAGUGAUCUGGGCCAGUACUGACGCUGAGGAGCGAAAGCGUGGGGAGCAAACAGG